GACAUAAAUGGCCUUCUGUGAAAGAAAAAAAAACUUUAACAUAAAAGAUUCGCUUUGUAUUUAUAUUAACAUUAAACUUUUUGAAAACACUUCUGAAAGAUGAUGAGCGUGUUUGUUAUCCUCUUUCUUCUGACAUUGGUCAAUGUCUCUGUCGAUGCAGACGGACACUAUAAAGCUUCAUGGAGCUAUUAUAGAACAUCCGUUGUGAACGCUCAUGGAGGAUACAAUUGUUCUGGGUGCAGGGUAAACGGAGUGUGUUAUUUAGCCAAUCAACAGUGGAAACAAGGGUGUUGGACGUUACAAUGCAAUGUUCAAACUCUUGGUCGUCUAUCAAUACGACAAUCAGUCCCAGUCAAAACUCAGUGUAGAGAUUCAUACGGCAGAUGUGUGGAUAACGGUGGAAUCGACCUCAGUAGACGAUGCACAUGUCAGGUGAUGGGAACAUCUUUCAGAUGGACAUGUUUUGGGAAAUAAAUAACUUGGAACAGCUUGUUGCAUUCAUGUGAACUUUUUUAGAAUACGUUUAAGUCAAAUUUUCUGUAUAGAUAAUUCUUGUUAUCUCGUCUUAAUAGUAUGUAUAUAUCAUACAAUUCUAAAUUUAAGACAGCAUUUCUCAAAGGAGACAAACAAUGAUUAUAUCAUCAUUUAUAUGUCACUUUUACAGUAUAAUGUGUGCAUUCAGUUGUUUCUUUAAGCGGGUUAAGGUUAGUCAAGAGAGACAACUCUGUAUCAGUUUAUGUGAUGCCGAAUAAAAAAAGGUGACAUUGUACUUUGAAGCUAUCUAUAAAAACAACGUACCAGUGAUUCGCAAGAGUUAUUCCCCUUAGCCUAUGUCAACCUCCUAAAAGUACUUGUAUGUAUUAUACUUUAUUGUCGAAAAUUUUCAAGCAACAUGACUUUAAUUUAUAUACGUAUCACGGCUAUGUGACAAUUUAGUGAUUUUCCAAUGGUGACUAGACAUUUUAAAAUCUAAGUAGUCUUCCCUUAUAGUAGAAGAAAUUACUAUUAGGGUUAUCAAACAUACACAUUCGUUCAAUCAACUUCAAUGUAUAUUUUUUUUUUAUUUCUUCAAACCGUGCAAUUCAAUUUCCCAUCUAGUCAAUGACUGACUAUUUGAUGACACAUUAUAAGAGGUAAGAGAGUGAUUGGCAAAACAUACACAAUAAUGGGCCUAAAAAAUAAGGAAUAGAGAAAAAAAUUACCAAAAUUUUAAAGAAUAGAGAAUAAUUGGGUGUUAGAAUAUAAAGAAAUACAGAAUUAUUGGCAAAAUAAAUAAAGAUAGAGACAAAUUGCGUAAAAAUUUACAAACUACAGAAAUGUAGACCCCUUAUCCAGACCAUCUUGUUAUGCUUUUCAUUAAUUCAUAACCAAAUUUCGCGAUGUACCACAAAGAAGGAUACAUGGCCUAAUCUCUAUAGGACAAAAAAAGUCUACGAGACAUAGAAAUUAUGUUAUUUCAAAACAUUAAGACUGUACUCCGUUGAGUUACCGGGAUGCUUUAAUUUAUUUUAAAAAGUAUGAGUGUUUAACCACGGGUACACGUCAUUUUCCAACCUUCUAAAAUUCAAACUGACCUUUUUCCCGUGCAUUCAUCAUUCAUCGUCCAUUCUGCGUGCGUGUUCAGUUCAUUCAUCGUGCAUUCAUCGUUCGUGCGCUUAUCAUUCAUCAUUACGUGUGUUUUCCUUUCAACGUGCGCUCAACGUUCUUUCAUUCUUAAUCGUGUAAAGUGCGCUCUACAUUCAUUCAUUCUUAAUCGUGUAAAGUGCGCUCAACGUUCAUUCCUUCUUAGUCUGUGUGUUCAUCCAUAAUCGUGUAAUGUGCACUCAACGUGUGUUAAUUCUAAAUCGGUUGAUAAUCGUUCAGCUUUUAAUUCAUUUUGUAACUUUUAAAAUUACUUUACAGUCUUGCAUAACCACUACGUACUGAUGAGAAAACAUUUUGUUAAAUUGCGAGAUAUUCUGAGAGUACUAAUUUUCUCAUCUACAUGUAUAUUAUGAUGUUAUAAAAAUAGGUUAACUAG